CAGGUAAGAGAUUUAUUGCGACUUGAUGAAGAUUUCUGCUUCAUGGUGUUCUGGUAAGAGAUUUAUUAAUCUGGCUCCAUCAUUCUUCGUCUUCUCAACCGUCUAAUAGGAAGGGUUUUUACGCUAAAAUCAUCAUCGGCGACUGUCCCCGUGCUAAUAUCUUCUGAUUAACAUCCGACCAAAGCAUGUGUGUAUUUUUUGGUUUGCUGGUGUUAUUCGUCAUUAGUUGCUGCUCAAUUGAUGUUCUUCUUAAUCUCAUUGUGCUUGGUAUG